CACCAUGGGCUGUGCAAUGGUGAGGCUAACCCUCAUAGAAGACUGGGCUACGAUUAAGGUCCUGAUGCCCUGGACCACCGCACCCUGCGUGCUGUUCCUAGAAGCGGAACCCAGGGGGGUCGCAUACGUACCUGACCUGACCAGCACAGACCAGUUGUUAACACCGCUAGGUUUCCCCUAGCCUGGCCGAUCAGGGCUGAAGUUGGGUCUCACAUUUCUCCCUCCUAUAGGGUUAAGGAAUGACCAGGACCAGCCCCGACAAGGCGUUGCCUUCCCGGACACCCCGAGGGCAGGAAGGUCCAGGGCCAGCCCCGACAGAGCGUUGCCUCCCUGGACCCCCAAGACCUCCAUACUAUCGCUAUGACUAACAGAACAAGAGUCCCCGAGAGUCCCCUCCAGAAGCGACCAGGACCAGCCCCGACAGAGCGUUGCCUUCCCAGUCACCUCAGAGGUGAUCGGGUUCCCAAAAGAAAGGGGAAUUUUUUGGAGGAGAAAUACAGUAAGUAAGGGUGAUUGUACUGAUAAACUGAUCCAGAUGAAUUAAGUUGUCUAGGGAGAGAGAGGGACAGAGAGAGAGA